CAGGAAACCAGUAACGUUCACCAUAACCGUUAUUUAAAAUUUAUUAAUAAAAGGAGUCAGUGGAAUCUGUUCUCAAACUCUUCAACUGUGUGUCCUCAUGGCAGUGGUAACAGACAGCUGCUAUACUAAAGAUGAGGUGACUUCUUUGGAAAGACCAAAUUAGAUACAAUAUGGAUGGACACUUGUUCCAUCAACUGUUACCUUUGUACUCUUGGGCAAGUUUAAUCUCUCUGGGCCUGUCUCCCCAUCUAUAAAAACAGUGAACCCUACUUCUUUUCCUCCUUUGACUCUACAACCUGAACCAAGUCUGCCCUCUUAAGGUCAUGAUCUCCCGGUUCGUCAGUGCAAGCCCUGCCUCAGGGUUCCAUGCUCACAGUGUGGAGCCUGCUUGUGAUUCUCUUUCCCCCUCCCCUGCUGGUGCACGCACCAUGCACCCACCGUGCACUCUUCUCUCCCUCUCUCUCAAAAUAAAUACACCAACUUAAAAAAAGAA